rnacentral:miRNA from 1 species
UGUUCUUGCUGCUUGCCUUGGACCCUAGGGAAAAAAUCCGGCAACUGAGCAAAUAUUCUCUUUUUUCCCUAGGGUCCAAGGCAAGCAGCAAGAACA